GAGUGAACGCUGGCGGUAGGCCUAACACAUGCAAGUCGAACGGCAGCACAGUAAGAGCUUGCUCUUACGGGUGGCGAGUGGCGGACGGGUGAGGAAUACAUCGGAAUCUACUUUUUCGUGGGGGAUAACGUAGGGAAACUUACGCUAGUACCGCAUACGACCUACGGGUGAAAGCAGGGGAUCUUCGGACCUUGCGCGAUUGAAUGAGCCGAUGUCGGAUUAGCUAGUUGGCGGGGUAAAGGCCCACCAAGGCGACGAUCCGUAGCUGGUCUGAGAGGAUGAUCAGCCACACUGGAACUGAGACACGGUCCAGACUCCUACGGGAGGCAGCAGUGGGGAAUAUUGGACAAUGGGCGCAAGCCUGAUCCAGCCAUACCGCGUGGGUGAAGAAGGCCUUCGGGUUGUAAAGCCCUUUUGUUGGGAAAGAAAAGCAGCAGGUUAAUACCCCGCUGUUCUGACGGUACCCAAAGAAUAAGCACCGGCUAACUUCGUG
rnacentral:rRNA from 1 species